rnacentral:rRNA from 1 species
AUGAACGCUGGCGGCGUGCCUAAUCCAUGCAAGUCGAGCGAACAGACGAGGAGCUUGCUCCUCUGACGUUAGCGGCGGACGGGUGAGUAACACGUGGAUAACCUACCUAUAAGACUGGGAUAACUUCGGGAAACCGGAGCUAAUACCGGAUAAUAUAUUGAACCGCAUGGUUCAAUAGUGAAAGACGGUUUUGCUGUCACUUAUAGAUGGAUCCGCGCCGCAUUAGCUAGUUGGUAAGGUAACGGCCUACCAAGGCAACGAUGCGUAGCCGACCUGAGAGGGUGAUCGGCCACACUGGAACUGAGACACGGUCCAGACUCCUACGGGAGGCAGCAGUAGGGAAUCUUCCGCAAUGGGCGAAAGCCUGACGGAGCAACGCCGCGUGAGUGAUGAAGGUCUUCGGAUCGUAAAACUCUGUUAUUAGGGAAGAACAAAUGUGUAAGUAACUAUGCACGUCUUGACGGUACCUAAUCAGAAAGCCACGGCUAACUACGUG